UUGGUUUCAACUCUAAAACACAUUAAAGCAUAGGAAGUUGUAUUAAUUCUGUCAGUUUUCUUAACAAAACAAAACCGGUACUCGACUCUGUAGUCUGCACCUUGGACCAGAUGGUGUUGCUAGAAAUACGUCUAUCAGGGGAACUCGUAACUUGACAGCACAUCAAGGCACGUGACAGUCUUUCUAAGACGAAGCACUUUUGGCUUCAGGCCUCUGGAGCAGCUCAAGGUCAUAGGGUUGGCUAUUCAAUGUGAGCAUUAGAAUUUCUUCAAGAUAAGAAACAUAUAAAGUAAAACUCAAGCUUAUUAAAUGUUCGUUAUUGAAUAAAUUAAACGUU